rnacentral:rRNA from 1 species
UGCAGCAGGCGCGAAACCUCUGCAAUAGGCGAAAGCCUGACAGGGUUACUCUGAGUGAUUUCCGUUAAGGAGAUCUUUUGGCACCUCUAAAAAUGGUGCAGAAUAAGGGGUGGGCAAGUCUGGUGUCAGCCGCCGCGGUAAUACCAGCACCCCGAGUGGUCGGGACGUUUAUUGGGCCUAAAGCAUCCGUAGCCGGUUCUACAAGUCUUCCGUUAAAUCCACCUGCUUAACAGAUGGGCUGCGGAAGAUACUAUAGAGCUAGGAGGCGGGAGAGGCAAGCGGUACUCGAUGGGUAGGGGUAAAAUCCGUUGAUCCAUUGAAGACCACCAGUGGCGAAGGCGGCUUGCCAGAACGCGCUCGACGGUGAGGGAUGAAAGCUGGGGGAGCAAACCGGAUUAGAUACCCGCGUAGUCCA